UACGAGGGGUGCAAGCGUUGCUCGGAAUUAUUGGGCGUAAAGGGUAGGUAGGUGGUCUCAGUUUGUCUGGGGUGAAAGCCUUGAGCUUAACUCAAGAAGUGCCCCGGAAACGGUGAGACUGGAGUCCUGGAGAGGGUCGUGGAAUUCCCGGUGUAGCGGUGAAAUGCGUAGAGAUCGGGAGGAACACCAGAGGCGAAGGCGGCGACCUGGACAGGCACUGACACUCAACUACGAAAGCGUGGGGAGCAAACAGG
rnacentral:rRNA from 1 species